rnacentral:rRNA from 1 species
GAUGAACGCUGGCGGCGUGCCUAAUACAUGCAAGUCGAGCGAACAGACGAGGAGCUUGCUCCUCUGACGUUAGCGGCGGACAGGUGAGUAACACGUGGAUAACCGACCUAUAAGACUGGGAUAACUUCGGGAAACCGGAGCUAAUACCAGAUAAUAUAUUGAACCGCAUGGUUCAAUAGUGAAAGACGGUUUUGCUGUCACUUAUAGAUGGAUCCGCGCCGCAUUAGCUAGUUGGUAAGGUAACGGCUUACCAAGGCAACGAUGCGUAGCCGACCUGAGAGGGUGAUCGGCCACACUGGAACUGAGACACGGUCCAGACUCCUACGGGAGGCAGCAGUAGGGAAUCUUCCGCAAUGGGCGAAAGCCUGACGGGGCAACGCCGCGUGAGUGAUGAAGGUCUUCGGAUCGUAAAACUCUGUUAUUAGGGAAGAACACAUGUGUAAGUAACUAUGCACGUCUUGACGGUACCUAAUCAGAAAGCCACGGCUAACUACGUG